AUGUCCUACACAUGGCGUAGCAUCUUAAAGGGGAGAGACCUUCUGAAACAAGGCUUGAUUUGGCGCAUAGGAGACGGAUCGCAGGUGGAUAUUUGGCAGGACCCGUGGCUGCCGAGGGGUGUGACGAGGAGACCAAUAACGCAGCAGGGGCAGGCGAUCAUCUCCAAAGUGAGCGAGCUGAUGAACCCGGUGACAGAAGGGUGGGAUGUUGAUCUUGUGCACGGACUUUUCACUGAGGAGGAUGCCCAGAUUAUCCUAUCCAUCCCGGUGAAACCAGAUAUGGAGGACUUUCCUGCAUGGCACUUUGAUAAAAGGGGGCGUUUCUCUGUGAAAUCUGCAUAUCACCUAGGGGUGAGCAUAAAGGAAGCGGAGGGCCAACGGGAUGCAGGAACUUCUUCCGGACAAGUGCACGUGAUGAUGAACUGGCAACAUAUCUGGAAACUUGAUCUUCCUGGGAAGGUUCGAAUGUUCCUGUGGCGACUAGCUCACAAUAGUUUACCAACACGAAUGAACAUAAAGAGGAAGCACAUACAGUUAGAUACGCUCUGUCCGAUGUGUUCCAGACUUGAUGAAGACGGUGGCCACUUGUUUCUCAAAUGCAAACUAGUGAAGGCUGUGUGGCGGGAGCAAAACCUGGAAGAUGUUCGCUUGCAACUUCUAGCCUGUCAGGAUCCGCAUGGCAUGUUUGAACAGAUCUUCACUCUGCCCCGUAACAUGAUACUGCGUGUGGCAGUCCUGCUGUGGGACUGGUGGACCUCCAGAAACAAGGUGAAUUCGGGCGAG
rnacentral:rRNA from 1 species